UGGAUCCUGAGUACGACGGAGCACGUGAAAUUCCGUCGGAAUCUGGGAGGACCAUCUCCUAAGGCUAAAUACUCUCUAGUGACCGAUAGUGAACCAGUACCGUGAGGGAAAGGUGAAAAGCACCCCGGAAGGGGAGUGAAAUAGAACCUGAAACCGUGUGCUUACAAGUAGUCAGAGCCCGUUAAUGGGUGAUGGCGUGCCUUUUGUAGAAUGAACCGGCGAGUUACGAUUUGAUGCAAGGUUAAGCAGUAAAUGUGGAGCCGUAGCGAAAGCGAGUCUGAAUAGGGCGUUUAGUAUUUGGUCGUAGACCCGAAACCAGGUGAUCUACCCUUGGUCAGGUUGAAGUUCAGGUAACACUGAAUGGAGGACCGAACCGACUUACGUUGAAAAGUGAGCGGAUGAACUGAGGGUAGCGGAGAAAUUCCAAUCGAACCUGGAGAUAGCUGGUUCUCUCCGAAAUAGCUUUAGGGCUAGCCUCAAGUGAUGAUUAUUGGAGGUAGAGCACUGUUUGGACGAGGGGCCCCUCUCGGGUUACCGAAUUCAGACAAACUCCGAAUGCCAAUUAAUUUAACUUGGGAGUCAGAACAUGGGUGAUAAGGUCCGUGUUCGAAAGGGAAACAGCCCAGACCACCAGCUAAGGUCCCAAAAUAUAUGUUAAGUGGAAAAGGA
rnacentral:rRNA from 1 species